rnacentral:rRNA from 1 species
UACGUAGGGGGCAAGCGUUGUCCGGAAUCAUUGGGCGUAAAGAGCGUGUAGGCGGCUUGGUAAGUCCGCUGUGAAAGUCCAGGGCUCAACCCUGGAAAGCCGGUGGAAACUGUCAAGCUUGAGUCCGGAAGAGGCGAGUGGAAUUCCUGGUGUAGCGGUGAAAUGCGCAGAUAUCAGAAGGAACACCAAUGGCGAAGGCAGCUCGCUGGGACGGUACUGACACUGAGACACGAAAGCGUGGGGAGCAAACAGG